rnacentral:rRNA from 1 species
GACGUAGGGUGCAAGCGUUAAUCGGAAUUACUGGGCGUAAAGCGUGCGCAGGCGGUUAUGCAAGACAGAUGUGAAAUCCCCGGGCUCAACCUGGGAACUGCAUUUGUGACUGUAUAGCUAGAGUACGGUAGAGGGGGAUGGAAUUCCGCGUGUAGCAGUGAAAUGCGUAGAUAUGCGGAGGAACACCGAUGGCGAAGGCAAUCCCCUGGACCUGUACUGACGCUCAUGCACGAAAGCGUGGGGAGCAAACAGG